UCUGACUAUGCAAAGAUAGAACAGCAGAGAAAAAGCAGAUGCAAACACUGGUGAAACGGCUAAUGUAGCUUGGUCUAUAAAACACAACUGGAAAAA